UCUUCCCUGAUCUUGAAACGCAGUUCCUCUUUCUACACUUUGUAGUUCUACUUAUCUCUCGGAAUUGAUGUAAGGUCCUUCUCCUCCGUGAAGCCUUCAUAGCACAUUCCAGCCAGAAAGUUGAACAGCAGAAAUAUUGACUACACGCCUUACUCCCUUCGAACUCUGAACGAAGCUGGAAGGAGCAGACAAAACUGUUUUACAAGACUUCUUUCCAACGUGACAGCGACAGGCACAGAUAUAUAUUUCUACACAUUUGUUUUGCAAUGUAAUUGAAAAACACAAUUUUAUUUUUAAAAUAAAAUGAUAAGAAAUUAAACCUGAGAUAUUUAACUUUAA